GAUGAACGCUGGCGGCGUGCCUAAUACAUGCAAGUCGAGCGAACGGACGAGAAGCUUGCUUUUCUGAUGUUAGCGGCGGACGGGUGAGUAACACGUGGAUAACCUACCUAUAAGACUGGGAUAACUUCGGGAAACCGGAGCUAAUACCGGAUAAUAUUUUGAACCGCAUGGUUCAAAAGUGAAAGACGGUCUUGCUGUCACUUAUAGAUGGAUCCGCGCUGCAUUAGCUAGUUGGUAAGGUAACGGCUUAUCAAGGCAACGAUGCAUAGCCGACCUGAGAGGGUGAUCGGCUACACUGGAACUGAGACACGGUCCAGACUCCUACGGGAGGCAGCAGUAGGGAAUCUUCCGCAAUGGGCGAAAGCCUGACGGAGCAACGCCGCGUGAGUGAUGAAGGUCUUCGGAUCGUAAAACUCUGUUAUUAGGGAAGAACAUAUGUGUAAGUAACUGUGCACAUCUUGACGGUACCUAAUCAGAAAGCCACGGCUAACUACGUG
rnacentral:rRNA from 1 species